rnacentral:rRNA from 1 species
AUCGAUGAAGAACGCAGCGAAAUGCGAUAAGUAAUGUGAAUUGCAGAAUUCAGUGAAUCAUCGAAUCUUUGAACGCACCUUGCGCCCUUUGGUAUUCCGAAGGGCAUGCCUGUUUGAGUGUCAUUAAAUUCUCAACCCAAAAAGCUUUUACUAGCUCUUUUGUGGCUUGGAUGUGGGGGUUAUUGCUGGCUUCCUUCAGUGGAUGGUCUGCUCCCCUUAAAUACAUUAGUGGGAUCUCUUGUGGACCGUCACUUGGUGUGAUAAUUAUCUAUGCCAGUUGACUUUGAAGCAAAACUUAUGGGAACCCGCUCAUAACCGUCUUCGGACAACUUUUGACAUUUUGACCUCAAAUCAGGUAGGACUACCCGCUGAACUUAAGCAUAUCAAUAAGCGGAGGAAAAGAAACUAACAAGGAUUCCCCUAGUAACUGCGAGUGAAGCGGGAAAAGCUCAAAUUUAAAAUCUGGCGGUCCCUGUGGCCGUCCGAGUUGUAAUUUAGAGAAGUGUUAUCCGCGCUGGACCGUGUACAAGUCUCCUGGAACGGAGCGUCAUAGAGGGUGAGAAUCCCGUCUUUGACACGGACUGCCAGGGCUCUGUGAUGCGCUCUCGAAGAGUCGAGUUGUUUGGGAAUGCAGCUCAAAAUGGGUGGUAAAUUCCAUCUAAAGCUAAAUAUUGGGGAGAGACCGAUAGCGAACAAGUACCGUGAGGGAAAGAUGAAAAGAACUUUGGAAAGAGAGUUAAACAGUACGUGAAAUUGCUGAAAGGGAAACGCUUGAAGUCAGUCGCGUUGCUCAGGAUUCAGCCUUGCUUUUUUGCUUGGUGUACUUCCUGUUCGACGGGUCAACAUCAAUUUUGGCCGGUGGAUAAAGGCACAGAGAAUGUGGCAUCUUCGGGUGUGUUAUAGCUCUGGGUCGCAUACAUCGGCUGGGAUUGAGGAACUCAGCACGCCGCAAGGCCGGGUACUUGUACCACGUACGUGCUUAGGAUGUUGGCAUAAUGGCUUUAAUCGACCCGUCUUGAAACACGG